rnacentral:rRNA from 1 species
UGGGGAAUAUUGCACAAUGGGCGAAAGCCUGAUGCAGCAACGCCGCGUGAGUGAUGAAGGUCUUCGGAUUGUAAAGCUCUGUCUUUUGGGACGAUAAUGACGGUACCAAAGGAGGAAGCCACGACUAACUACGUGCCAGCAGCCGCGGUAAUACGUAGGUGGCGAGCGUUGUCCGGAUUUACUGGGCGUAAAGGGUGCGUAGGCGGAUGUUUAAGUGAGAUGUGAAAUACCCGGGCUUAACUUGGGUGCUGCAUUUCAAACUGGAUAUCUAGAGUGCAGGAGAGGAGAAUGGAAUUCCUAGUGUAGCGGUGAAAUGCGUAGAGAUUAGGAAGAACACCAGUGGCGAAGGCGAUUCUCUGGACUGUAACUGACGCUGAGGCACGAAAAGCGUGGGUAGCAAACAGGAUUAGAUACCCUGGUAGUCCACGCCGUAAAACGAUGAGUACUAGGUGUAGGAGGUAUCGACCCCUUCUGUGCCGCAGUAAACACAUUAAGUACUCCGCCUGGGAAGUACGAUCGCAAGAUUAAAAAC